CUAACUGGGGGCGUCUAUACAUGCAGUCGAACGAAACUUCUUUAUCACCGAGUGCUUGCACUCACCGAUAAAGAGUUGAGUGGCGAACGGGUGAGUAACACGUGGGCAACCUGCCCAAAAGAGGGGGAUAACACUUGGAAACAGGUGCUAAUACCGCAUAACCAUAGUUACCGCAUGGUAACUAUGUAAAAGGUGGCUAUGCUACCGCUUUUGGAUGGGCCCGCGGCGCAUUAGCUAGUUGGUGGGGUAAAGGCUUACCAAGGCAAUGAUGCGUAGCCGAACUGAGAGGUUGAUCGGCCACAUUGGGACUGAGACACGGCCCAAACUCCUACGGGAGGCAGCAGUAGGGAAUCUUCCACAAUGGGCGAAAGCCUGAUGGAGCAACGCCGCGUGGGUGAAGAAGGUCUUCGGAUCGUAAAACCCUGUUGUUAGAGAAGAAAGUGCGUGAGAGUAACUGUUCACGUUUCGACGGUAUCUAACCAGAAAGCCACGGCUAACUACGUGCCAGCAGCCGCGGUAAUACGUAGGUGGCAAGCGUUAUCCGGAUUUAUUGGGCGUAAAGGGAACGCAGGCGGUCUUUUAAGUCUGAUGUGAAAGCCUUCGGCUUAACCGGAGUAGUGCAUUGGAAACUGGGAGACUUGAGUGCAGAAGAGGAGAGUGGAACUCCAUGUGUAGCGGUGAAAUGCGUAGAUAUAUGGAAGAACACCAGUGGCGAAAGCGGCUCUCUGGUCUGUAACUGACGCUGAGGUUCGAAAGCGUGGGUAGCAAACAGGAUUAGAUACCCUGGUAGUCCACGCCGUAAACGAUGAAUGCUAAGUGUUGGAGGGUUUCCGCCCUUCAGUGCUGCAGCUAACGCAAUAAGCAUUCCGCCUGGGGAGUACGACCGCAAGGUUGAAACUCAAAGGAAUUGACGGGGGCCCGCACAAGCGGUGGAGCAUGUGGUUUAAUUCGAAGCAACGCGAGAC
rnacentral:rRNA from 1 species